GCGGCGCUCGCGAAACCCGAAGACUUGCAGGGUAAGAACUGAAGCCACCAAAAGGCUUACUAUACCACACAACACCCAAGCCUUCCUUUGGGGCAUGGGGACAGUGGAUCUAUGGCUCCUCAGGGUGCCAACCAAUUGAAGAAGGAAGCCAGCUCCACUCAACAGCUUCUACAAAGGAAGGGCCACAGGAGAGGGGCUUCAGUGGUUCCAGGCAGCUGCUUCAUUCACAACAGAAUGGCCAUUUUCUCCAGCAUGGCCAACUAUCCCUAGUCUUUUUGUCAUGACAGCCUAGAAGGCAGAAGCUAGGGCCAAGGCGGCUGCUAAGGAAUUCCUACUCCUACUGGGGCCUAAUGUCAGGCUUUCCUUAUAUUGUGGAGUGGGCCCUGGAAGAUAGUUAGAGACCCUUCCUGCUGGGCACCCUGAAGAGGAGCAAGAGGAUCUGGUGAGCAAAAUGAAGCAAAAGUGCAGUGCUGGAGCUGACAGCCCUGUUCCCUACUGCACGCAGUUGGCUCAGGGCUGUCCCCCACUUUGGAGCUUCUUGCCACUCACGGGCUACCCUGCACACACUACUUACUGCCCAGGCCUGUCUGCCACCACAGUACCCUGUGCCUGAGACCUUUCCUGGCCUCUGCUGGAUCCCAGGCCUAGUAUCAUUCCUAGGGACUCCAGAGGCAAGUCCAGGCUAAUAUGCUCUGGGAAAACAAUGUACAAUGUACAUGUUUGCCUUUUGACGUAGAUAAAUGAUACCUGGAUCCCAGGUCUGGCUCUGGGGCAGGGGAGCUUCAGGCCUGGCUAUGGCAGAACACUGAAGGAGGUACUUUGGGUUUUCACAACCUCUUAAAUCAUCUCAGAGAGAGAGUGAACAACUUACUUUCACAUGCACAAGCUGCCGCUGGCUCUGUCACAAGAAGAUGGACUACAAGUAAUAAAAUCAAGAUGAAGUUCUGUGUACAUCUUUCCAGCUUACAAGAAUUGUAGAAAGUUGAAGAUGAAAGGGAUAUUAAAGAGCAUCUCAUUCUACCUCCUCAUUUUGCAGCUGUAAGAACCGAGGCCCAGGGAGGGGGACUGGGGAAGCCACCAUCACACAGCUGCUCCGUGGCAGGAGUUGUGCUAACUUUCUGUGGCUGUUGCCAUUACACCCAGCAUCUUUUGACUUUUGAAAACAGCGAAGGAGAAAUCAGUCCUCCCAGCAUCUUCACCUCCCACGACGUUUAUUGUUUCCAGCUGUUAAAAAUUGGCCCUUUAAAAAUGGGUCGUCUUGCCAGUCAUUGAGGGUCACCGCGGUGGGGAGUGCUGAUUUAGAGGGCGGCAGAACAGGGAGGUGAUUGGAGGCAUAAUUGCCAGUCUCCUCCUUGGCACCUGGGGAUUUCUGUCAUUCAAGUCUCAGGGUGUGUGCCCUCAGCAAAUACUAACCCACAGAGUCAAUUGCUAACUGCAGUCAUCUGUGCAUUUGCCCUCUGGGGAUGGAAAGCCAUAAGAAAUGCCAUUUCCUAAUCUAGUUGGCCUUGGAUGAGAAGAUGUUUUUGCCUAAUGGAAGCCUUUGGAGAGUGAAUAAUGUGAAUAAUGUGUAUUUAGGACCUACAGUGCUCCCCAGGAUGCUGUAAGGGACCUGGUUAUAAAGAAAAAAACCUCACUGAUGGUCUUGGCUUUGUCCUUGUCUGAGUUAAGUCCUUUUGGUUGGAAGUAAUCAACUUGAGCUGACGUAAGCAUUAAGGGACAUAGAAGAGUAUAGCAGUAUCUCAUGAAGUCCAAGGGCAGAUGGCCUCAAGGUAGCCCGAGAAGCUGCUAGGAACCUAGACAGUCCACCUUCUCCAGCUUUCUUCUCUGCUUCGUGUCUCCCUCUGCAAUCCACUUUCUUCUCUGUGAGUAGCUGGGCAGAGGAUAAUCCCUCAACAACUAUCACAUCUACAUCUUCUCUCCUAAAGAGAUUAGCCAAAGGUGAGUGGCUGUCCUCAGUCCAAUACCAGAUUCCUGGGAGAGGGAAUUUGGUUGUCCCAGCCUGGGUCAGGUGCACAGCUUGAUCCAAUCAGGUGUGCCCAGGAGAGGGUGCCCUGAGACAGGCACAUCUGGGGACACUCAUCCUCAUGAAUGACCGGACAGUUCUCCAGGAAAGAAGAGAGAAGAGUGGAGGUCAGACAUUUCAAAUGUAUAUUAUAGGCAUCAAAUUAGUUACUGAUACAGAAAAAUGGCAAUGUCUAAGUAGGGGGCUUGAGAAACAGUUCAAACACUGUAUAGAUUUUGAUUAUUUGCUUAACUUCCAGGAUGAUAAAUUGUCUAUUAUGGAGCUGUAUUUUUUUUUUGGAGACAGAGUCUUGCUGUUUGGCUGGAGUGCAGUGGCGUGAUCUCGGCUCACCACAACCUCCACCUCCAGGUUCAAGCAAUUCUCCUGCCUCAGCCUCCCGAGUAGCUGGGAUUACAGGUGCCCACCACCAGCCCUGGCUAAUUUUUGUAUUUUUAGUAGAAACGGGGUUUCACCAUGUUGGCCAGGCUGGUCUAGAACUCCUGACCUCAAGUGAUCCGCCCUUCUCGGCCUCCCAAAGUGCCAGGAUUACAGGCGUGAGCCACCAUGCCCAGGUGGAGCUGAAUUUUUUUUUUUUUUUUUGAGGUGGGAGGAUGGAGUCUCGCUUUUUCGCCCAGGCUGGAGUGCAAUGGCACGAUCUUGGCUCACUGCAACCUCCGCCUCCCAGGUCCAAGCAAUUCUUCUGCCUCAGCCUCCCCAGUAGCUGGGAUUACAGGCAUGUGCCACCACACCCGGGUAAUUUUUGUAUUUUUAGUAGAGACAAGGUUUCACCAUGUUGGCCAGGCUGGUCUCGAACUCCUGACCUCAAGUGAUCCACCCAUCGCAGCCUCCCAAAGUGCUAGGAUUACAGGCAUGAGCCACCGCGCCCAGCCAAUCUUUUUAUAUAGUAGAUUUCUUGCAAUGUAACCCCUAUCCUCUGGGCUUUGUGUAAAAAGUGCAUUCAGACAAUCUGAGGAGUGUCUUAAUUUUUUGUGUGACUAUCAUAUAUAUUUUCAUCCUGUUGAGGUGUGUUUGCUAGGUGGAUAUUGAACAUGAAAUCAAAGUAUAAUUUUAAACUUGUGUUGAAAUAUAUGUGUAUAAGCAUAUGUGCACAAUUACCUAUAUUGUCAAACACCCAACCUGCUUUCCAAAGGAUUUGAAGCAAGGUCUAAUAAAAACACAGAAAAAGUAUGGCCAAGAGCUGUAAACACCAAAAAAAGAAGUAAAGGGCAAGUCGCAAACAGACUGCAGUUGAGCAAAGCUGCAAAGGACUAUAAUACCAGGCCUGAAGUGGUUGCUAAAUGUAGCUCUGAGCUUUCUGACAUUCAAAGCCAAAAAUAGGUAUAUUUUAUUAUUUAAACAGUGUCUACUCUGAGGUCCUCAAAACUCUUUCAGGGGGCCCACAGAUCAAAACUAUUUUCAUAAUAACACCAAGACAUUGUUUGCAUCUUUCAUUGUCAUUCUCUUAGGAGUGUACAGUGGAGUUUUCCAGAAGGCAUAUGCCAUGUGCAUCACCACAGCUUAAAUGCAGAAACAGACAUGAGGAUCUAGCUGUGUCCUACUAAGCCAGACAUUCAGGACAUCUAAAAGUGUAAAACAAUGCCACUCUUCUCACUAACUUUUUUGUUUUGGAAAAUAUAUCUUUCAUAAAAUAUUGAUUAUGUUGAUAUAUUACGGGUUUGUUGUUAUUAUUUUAAAUGAAUUAAUAAAUAAUUUUCUGAUUUAAUUUCUAUUACUGUAAAUAUUGAUGGAUAUAUCCUGUAUAAGCAAAAACUCUCUGGGGUUCUCAACUAUUUUUAAGAGUGUAAAGGGGUCAUUAGAGAACUGCUCAAGAAUGUUAGUAUUAUUUAAAGAGCUUCUGCACAGAAAAACUAUCAACAGAGUAAACAAACAAACUACAGAAUGGGAGAAAAUCUUCACAAGCUGUGCAUCUGACAGGGGCUAACAUCCAGACUCUAUAGGGAACUUAAACAUUUCAAUGAGUAAACAAUAAUUAACCCCAUUAAAAAGUGGGCAAAGGACAUGAACAGACACUUCUCAAAAGAAGACAUACAAGCAGCCAACAGACAUGAAAAAAUGUUCCACAUCACUACUCAGAGAAAUGCAAAUUUAAACCACAGGGAGAUACCAUCUCACUCUAGUCAGAAUGGCUAUUAUUAAAAAGUCAAAAAAAUAAUAACAGAUGCUGUUGAGGCUGUAGAGAAAAUGUAAUGCUUAUACAUUGUUGAUGGGAACAUAAAUUAGUCCAGCCACUGUGGAAAGCAGUUUGGAGAUGCCUCAGAGAACUUAGAACUACCAUUUGACCCAGCAGUCCCAUUACUUGGUACAUACCCAAAAGAAAACAAAUGUUUCCACCAAAAAGACGCGUGUGCUCAUAUGUUCACUGCAGCACUAUUCACAAUAGCAAAGACAUGGAAUCAAUCUAGGGGUCCAUCAGUGGUGGGUUAGAUAAAGACCAUGUGGUACACAUACACCAUGAAAUACUGCCCAGCCAUAAAAAAGAACGAAAUCAUGUCCUUUGCAGCAACAUGGAUGCAGCUGGAAGCUGUUAGCCCAAGUGAAUUAAUGCAGGAACAGAAAACCAAAUCCUGCAUUUUCUCACUUAUAAGUGUGAGCUAAACAUUGAGUACACGUGGACGUAAAGAUGGAAACAGCAGACACUGGAGACUACCAGAGGAAGAAGAAAGGGAGGGAGGAGAAAGGGAGGGAGGAAAAAGGGAGGGAGUCAAGGGCUGAAAAACUACCUAUUAGGUACUAUGCUCAGAACCUCAGUGAUGGGAUUAAUUGAACCUCAAACCUCAGUGUCACACAAUAUACUCAUGUAACAAGCCUGCAUAUGUGCCCUCUGAAUCUAAAAUAAAAGUUGAAAUUAUUUUUUAAAAAAAGAAUAUUACUAUUAUUUAAUCA
rnacentral:lncRNA from 1 species